UGCUUGAAGCAUGCAAGUAUUGAAAAACAUGGAAGACUUUGACCAUCCCUUAUUCACAUGUUUUAGUGUCAUAAGAAGAAAAACCCCUCUUUCAUACCAAUGAAAUCUGACCACAGGAAAAAACUGUUUAGUAAUAAGCUACACGACUCGAAAGUGUAAACAAAUGCAAUUAGCGAAAAUGCAGAAACUAAAUUUAAUGUUAAAAAUAUUAAGAAAGGCUCCAACAUCGACUUGGUCCUGGUCUACUUGGAGCUAUCAUAAAAGGCACUUAAGUAAAUCUAGACGUACAGUAAUAAAUAAGCCUAUAGAUUUACUUGAUGAUACUUCAAGUCAAGAAAUAUACUGCAAUCAUAAUACAAAAAAAGAAAGCAU
rnacentral:sRNA from 1 species